UACGUAGGGUGCGAGCGUUUGUCCGGAAUUAUUGGGCGUAAAGAGCUCGUAGGCGGUGUGUCACGUCGGCCGUGAAAACCUGCAGCUUAACUGUGGGCGUGCGGUCGAUACGGGCAUCACUGGAGUUCGGCAGGGGAGACUGGAAUUCCUGGUGUAGCGGUGAAAUGCGCAGAUAUCAGGAGGAACACCGGUGGCGAAGGCGGCUUGCUGGGCCAGGUUCUGACGCUGGAGGAGCGAAAGCGUGGGGGAGCGAACAGG
rnacentral:rRNA from 1 species